rnacentral:lncRNA from 1 species
AAAUCAACAGAUUAUAUUUUUGAAGGACCUCAGAUUCUAAGAAAUCCUGCUCUUCUGGAAGUCUAGUAGAAACCUUUCAUUAAGAAAGUAUAAAAUCUACAUCUCUUUUUCUAAGAGUUCUAGGUAUGUUAAACUUCUCCAGUGCGUGAAGGGAAUCAGGUUUGUAAACACUGCUUUUAAAAUAGGAGUUGCUGUCCAUGGUAGUGAUACAUCUGGGUAAUCUGACAACCGAAAUGACAUAAAGAACUGUAUCCUCACUGACGUUGUUUGAGCCAGGCUGUAGAAUGGCAGCAGGACUAAAAAGAUGGGUCAGGAAGCUGCCUGUGAUACACUUGGGAAACCAGGGUAGUUCUGCUUUCCAUCCACCAAUUCCAUCCUGGGCUGUGUUUGUUUGUGUAUGUUUUCCUCUCCAGAAGAGAGGGUGAGGAAGCAUCAGGGUUGUUCACAGUCCUUUGGACAAGGCCUGCACAUGCAUCUGGAGAAUGGGUUUGCAGGUUGCACAGCCACUCUUUCUACUCUUAGUUAAGACAACAGCAAUUGCUUAGUUUCUACUUUGGGACCCACUCCAUUUCCUCUUAGUAGAAAGGCCCUUUAUUCAUUGUAGUGAACUGUAUUUGUAAGCCUUAAAUGUUUACGUGUUUUGUCAUAAAAUUAAUGAGCAUCCACCCCCUUAAAAAUCUCAUUAAAGUUCGUCUUUGGCAGGUUGCCUCCUAAAGACUCGACAGCACUUUGGUGGCUGAUCUGAUCGGAGUGUCGUCUUAUUCCCUCCUCCUUUCCCAUCUGUUUGUAUCCACCUCUUGUGUUACGAAAAUAAACUGUUUUGGGGUAGGAACUGUUUUUCUUUUUUCCCUUGUAGCUUGGUGCAAUGCUGUCCUGGUGCACAACUUCUCUGCAGUGAAUUAACCUGUGCUGGUUUCUGCUACGCUAUCGCCACUACCCAAACAAACUACUUGUAUGGGAUAUGCACACUCCUGAUUCUUAAAAGCAACUGGAACGUCUUGACUGUGACCCUGAAAUCCUGUAUUCCAGAAGGUGCCACUCCAACAACCUGCUUAUCUGAUGUGAAUACACUGAAACAGAGGCUGCUUUAGCAGUGCGUGUUCCAUUAACAGUGAAAUUGAGCCAUUUUCUUAAAGCUUUGUUUUGUCCUUUAGCUUUCUCCAUUUCGUAUCUUAAAUAAGCAUAGUUCCUGGCAAUGCUCGGUGCUGCUGCUUGCAGGGAAGUGCAGAGCCUCGUGGCUUUCUGCUGGCUGCCAGGCAGCC